UACGUAGGGCGCAAGCGUUAUCCGGAAUUAUUGGGCGUAAAGAGCUCGUAGGCGGUUUGUCGCGUCUGCCGUGAAAGUCCGGGGCUCAACUCCGGAUCUGCGGUGGGUACGGGCAGACUAGAGUGAUGUAGGGGAGACUGGAAUUCCUGGUGUAGCGGUGAAAUGCGCAGAUAUCAGGAGGAACACCGAUGGCGAAGGCAGGUCUCUGGGCAUUAACUGACACUGAGGAGCGAAAGCAUGGGGAGCGAACAGG
rnacentral:rRNA from 1 species